UGAAUCAGUAGCUUGCUACUAUGCUGGGGUAGACGGGAAAGUCCUAGCUGAAAAGCUAGAGUGCCGGUACCUGUACCCCUAUCAUACCCUUGUCUUUUGAGUACUUAUGUUUCCUUGGUAGGCUUGCCUGCCAAAAGGACAAACUUGAAACCUAUUUAAAUAUCAAUCAGCGUCUGAUAAUAAAUUAAUGAAUUA
rnacentral:misc_RNA from 1 species